rnacentral:tRNA from 1 species
CCGCAGGACGCCAAAUUGGCUGUGGCAACGCUCCGUAAAAGCGUGGUGCGCGAGCACAUGGGGGUUCGAGUCCCUCCCUGCGGA